GUCAGUCACCCGCGGCGCCAGCGAGGCGGAGGCGGCGAUGGCUUCGAGCCACUCGACCACCUGCCGCGCCGUCGGCCGCGACUUGGGGUUAUCGUUGACGCAGGCGCACGCCACGUCCAGCACCAUCGCCGCCUCCUCCCGGUGCUUCCUCUCGUCGACGCUGGCGUCGAUCACCUCGUCGCCCCUGGCCUCGCGCCGCAUCCGCACCGCCCACGACGUCACGUCCCGGCCGCCGCCGACUGGCCGCGCCAUGUCCACCGGCCGCCGCCCCGUCACGAGCUCCAGCAGCACCACGCCGAGGCUGUACACGUCCCCGCGGUAGGUGGCCACCGACGAGCUCCCGUACUCCGGCGGGAUGUACCCCAGCGUGCCCACCAGGUCCGUCGUCACGUGCGUGUCCGUCGGGAGCACCAGCCUGGCCAGCCCGAAGUCCGCCAGCUUGGGCUCCAGCCGCGCGUCCAGGAGGAUGUUGCUCGACUUGAUGUCCCGGUGCAGGACGCGCGGCUCCGACGACGCGUGCAGGUGCGCCAGCCCGCGCGCCGCGCCGCGUGCGAUGCCCAGCCGGGCCGGCCACGCCAGCGCGCCGCCGCCUCGCUCGUGGAGCCAGUGGUCAAGGCUGCCGUUCUCCAUGUACGGGUAGAUGAGCAGCCGGUCCUUGCCCGCACGGCAGUAGCCCUGCAGCGGCACCAGGUUCCGGUGCCGCACGCGCGACAGCGUCUCCACCUCGGCGCGGAACUCGCGCUCCAUCUGCCAGAAAUCGCCGGACAGCCGCUUCACCGCCACCUCGCUCCCGUCCGCCAGCGUCGCGCGGUACACCAUCCCGAAACCGCCGCACCCGACGAUGCAGGAUGCGUCGAAGUUGCGCGUCGCCUUCAUCACGUCCUCCAGCGUCAUCGCGCGCUCGCCUUCGUCGCUAUCCUCCUCAUCGCCGGCCGGGAAGAGCAGUACCAGCGUGGACUUCGCCGCCGACUCGAGGCUGCCGUCGUCGUCGUCGUCGUCGUCUGCCGCCACUCUGGCGUUGUCCUCCUGCCGCUUUGACCACACGCGCCACGUCACGGCCGCGGCUACGGCGACGAGCAGCGCCGUCGCGACGCCGAUCGCCGCCGCGACGCCGGUGCCGGCGCUCCGCUCCUGCUUGCCUCCCCCGCCGCCGUCGACCGUGCGCGGCGGCUCGUCCUUCCGCGUGCACCGCGCCACGUGGAUGCCGCACAGCAGCGGGUUCCCCUGGAAGUCCCCCCGCGAGAACGUGGAGAACUGCCCGCCCACGGGGACCUCGCCGGAGAGGUUGUUGAACGAGACGUCGAAGUGGGAGAGGAAGCUGAGCUGCGUCAGCGACGCCGGGAUCACGCCGGAGAGCGCGUUGUUGGACAUGUCCAGCGACUCGAGGCUCGUCAUCCCCGACAGGUCCGGUGGGAUGGGUCCCGACAGCCUGUUCCAGCUC
rnacentral:misc_RNA from 1 species